rnacentral:rRNA from 1 species
UACGGGGGGGGCAAGCGUUGUCCGGAAUUACUGGGCGUAAAGGGCUGGUAGGCGGCCAACUAAGUCGGAUGUGAAAUCCCUCGGCUUAACCGGGGAACUGCGUCUGAUACUGGAUGGCUUGAGUUUGGGAGAGGGAUGCGGAAUUCCAGGUGUAGCGGUGAAAUGCGUAGAUAUCUGGAGGAACACCGGUGGCGAAGGCGGCAUCCUGGACCAACACUGACGCUGAGUGAGCGAAAGCCAGGGAGCAAACGGG